rnacentral:lncRNA from 1 species
GACAGACAGCUUGACAGUCUGAGAACUCUCCACAUGUAAGUCUGUGAAGGCUUUCUGUUCAGUUGUUUACUCUUUAUUAUAGUGAUCUGGAAUGGUCAUAAAGAGUCUUUCAAAUUUUGAUUCUCCCAGAUAUAUGGCCUUAUGUUCACCUCCUGACUCAUAUGAAACUUUCCUUUUGUCAUGGAGAGAAUAUUUAAAUUCAGAGGAAAAAGUCCUAUAACCAAGGAGGAAGCAGAAAUGUGAUCCAGAAGGGAAACCAGAAGGGGGCCUGGCAGAAAGACAAUGGUGGUUCCUCCCUCAGGACACACUCCUGUUUCCACAGCUUCACAUCCAAUUGCAGGUAUUUUGUAAGAGUGUGAAGCAACGUGAAUAAUUCGAUCAGCAGUUUAGCUGGAGAGGAUUCUGUGCACCACACCUCUUCUAAGCUGUCAACUCAUUGUAUAGCACCCACCUAACUUCAGGGCUCCGGGGGCUUUUGCCGUUAUCCUCAUGGAACUGGGGAAUCGCUCAGAAGGAUCCUUUCCUGACUCGCUGUCCAGCAGGCACGAUGGAUGGCUCGGCUCAGUGCUGGAUGCAGUUCCUAUGCAAAAGUUGGACACUUCAAGCAUCCAUGGAGAUUACAAAGCACGGAAAUGCUGUAAACCACUGAAAGACUGGAGAAGAGGAAAGACAACCCAGGAGAAUUCAUCAUAAGAUAUUCAGUCCGAUAUUUCCUGAGGUGACCCAACCAUCCAUUUCUCAUAGAGAUUCAGGACUACAAGCCAUUAUCCAAAGAUGCCUGGGCACUCAUGACAACAGAGAUAGUUAAUCUAGAUUGUGAAUUUACAUGGAUCUGAAAUCUUUCUUGAUGAGACUAUUUUAUGGAAAGAUCUAAAUAUAGGUGGUACCUUUUGUAGCAGCCCAGAUAAAAGGAUGUGGAAGGAAGAGCUUUCAUCACUCUUGUUGGGAGGUCCAUAUCUCCUGUUGCUGUUAUGGCUACAUUCUUCCACUGAUCUCAGAAGCUGCUUCUAUGAGCUUGCAAUGUAGACUGAAGACCAGCAGAUUUUCAGGAAUCUUCCAGGCCUUCAUCACCAGACUGAGAUUGCCAAGACAUCCAGCCUCCUAGUUCAGCAUCUACCAGAUUCUGAUCAUCUCCAGUGAAAGACAACCAUUGUUGGACCACCCACAUUCUUAAACCAAUGUACGCAGAGUCACAUCCAGCUUUUCUGGGAACCCAAACUCAAGACCUCAUGAUGAGCAUCAAAGAAGGCCCAUUCAGCCCAAGCUAUAUAGUAGAAUCCUUUUAAAAGACCAACCAAUAAUAAUAAAUAAUGCUUGCCUUCCACUCUGU